CAUCACUACGCUAGAUGCAUAUCAAUAAGCGGAGGAAAAGAAACUAACAAGGAUUCCCCUAGUAACGGCGAGGUGAAGCGGGAAGAGCUCAAAUUUGAAAUCUUAAAGGGUUUCCCUUUACGAAUUGUAGUUUAAAGAAGUGUUUUCUGUUGGAGUUUCGGUAAAAGUUCUUUGGAAUAGGACAUCAUAGAGGGUGAGAAUCCCGUAUUUGACCGUUACUUUCCAGCUGUGUGAUACACUUUCAAAGAGUCGGAUUGUUUGGGAAUGCAGUCCAAAAUGGGUGGUAAAUUUCAUCUAAAGCUAAAUAUUGGCGAGAGACCGAUAGUGAACAAGUACCGUGAGGGAAAGAUGAAAAGAACUUUGAAAAGAGAGUUAAACAGUACGUGAAAUUGUCAAAAGGGAAGCGUUUGACACCAGUGUUGUUUAGUUGAAAAUCAAUUCAAUAGUUUUUGAUUUUAAGUAGUAUUGACUUCAUCAGCUUGCUGCUUUCUUUUCGGAAAUUAUGGAAUGCACUUUUCAGUUAACAAGUCAACAUCAAUUUCUUUUGUUGUAAAAGGGUAAGAGGAAGGUGGCUUACGCUUCGGCGUAAGUGUUUAUAGCCUUUUACCUCUGCAAUCGGAGAGAUUGAGGACAGCAGCGUAGACUCCUUCGGGGGUUAGAUACACUUGUGCUAAGCUAUAGCCUUGUAUAGACAACUUGUUGACUAUGCUCAGUCAUGUAGCUUACUCGCUUGUGCUAUUUUACCUACGCUUAGGAUGUUGACACACGCGCGUGCUCG
rnacentral:rRNA from 1 species